UGGGGAAUAUUGCACAAUGGGCGGAAGCCUGAUGCAGCAACGCCGCGUGAGUGAUGAAAGGUCUUCGGAUUGUAAAGCUCUGUCUUUUGGGACGAUAAUGACGGUACCAAAGGAGGAAGCCACGGCUAACUACGUGCCAGCAGCCGCGGUAAUACGUAGGUGGCGAGCGUUGUCCGGAUUUACUGGGCGUAAAGGGUGCGUAGGCGGAUGUUUAAGUGAGAUGUGAAAUACCCGGGCUUAACUUGGGCGCUG
rnacentral:rRNA from 1 species